rnacentral:rRNA from 1 species
AUGGGGGCACCGCAUGUUCUUUCAUUGGUUAAGUCCGUGAUCGCGGCCAAACCUAUUCAUCACUUCAUGGUCACGGAGGCUCCAGCGUGGGUGUUUGAAGAGAUUGAUCAAUGGAUGCGUUCUUUCUUCUGGGCUGGCAAAGACAAAGUGAAUGGCGGCCAGUGCCUGGUUGCUUGGAACUCGGUUUGCAAACCCACAUGGCUAGGUGGAUUGGGAGUUCAUAACCUUCAGUUGCAAGGCUUGGCCCUGAGAGUCGGGUGGGAGUGGUUGAGGCGGACGGACCCAGAGAGGUCGUGGCAAGGACUACCCAUGGUUGUGGACAGAGAGGCACGUGCGGUCUUCGACAGUUUGGUGCACAUUUCGGUAGGGGUGGGCAACAAAGUUCUAUUUUGGAGAGAUAGGUGGGUUCAUGGCUUCGCGGUCAAGGAUAUUGCGCCUUACAUUCAUGCAUUGGUGGACACGCGAACGAUCAACCGCCACACUGUCGAGGAAGGAUUAGAGGACGGACGGGAGAUGGCUGCUUGA